UACGUAGGGGGCAAGCGUUGUUCGGAGUUACUGGGCGUAAAGCGUGCGUAGGCGGUUGUCUAAGUUUGGUGUGAAAUCUCCUGGCUUAACUGGGAGGGUGCGCCGAAAACUGGGUGACUGGAGUGUCGGAGAGGUAAGCGGAAUUCCUGGUGUAGCGGUGAAAUGCGUAGAGAUCAGGAGGAACACCUGUGGUGUAGACAGCUUACUGGACGAUAACUGACGCUGAGGCACGAAAGCGUGGGUAGCAAACAGG
rnacentral:rRNA from 1 species